CAUGAUGCGGAGCCCAUAUGAGAUUGUGGCACUUGCAAGGUAAGGAUUUGUCCACUAGGCUAUCACACUGGGCCCUGGUGUGGAUGUUUCUAACUGUUGUUUUCAUGUGAAGAGAACACUUUAUUACAAAUCUUUAUUAUGAGAAGUUAAGUGGUGUGUGUGGGACAGAGCUGGCGUUAUGGCUCUUGACCAGUAUAGAUCUCACGCUUUUGAAGAUUUAAUGGAAUUUGAUAACAGGAAAUGCCCCCUGGAGUUGAUAUAGUGCACUCCUGUGAGCUGCAGUUUCUUUGAGAUAAUGUGGCUACUCGUUGGAGCACUGCUUCAUGUCAGAGGUUGAUUUGUGGUGGCGGAUGACACUGUGACGUGAGCACAGGGCAUCGAUCAGCCUGAUCAUGAGUCGAUGUGAGGUGCUCUGCUGAGUUAGUUUAGGCUCACAAGCAGAUGUGCUGAGGACCCACCGUGUCCCAGGCAUCAGCUGGGAUGCUGUCCUGUUAUCGUUAUGAACACCAGUAUCUUGCAAUUUGUGCCAAUCUAUGUGGAACACUUCCCAAGUCCUGCCUGAAUGAAGAACUGCUAUUAUUAUAGACUGCAAGAUAAGUGAUAGUUAUGAGGCAUAAUAAGGAGGACAGUUACCAGCCCUUUGAUACUGAACUAUCUAAAAGAAAAAAAAUGGGGCUAUGUUGGAGUUUUGCAUAUUUUUGCUUAUUUAGUUCUUAAAGGAAACCUUCUACUUAAGAUCCAAUUGCCUAAUUUCAAUGAAGAAUUGUGUUUUACAAAGCUUUUGGAUGCUUUUAUAAAGUAAGGGUUGCUGAAACACCAAGUGAAGAUGUGGUAAUAAAACAUCUCAAUUUUCCAGAGAGACCUUUUCUACUGCCUAAGGAAUCCCUCCGCUCUGGGCAGCAGACGCGGCCCCGGGUCGUCUCAUCACCACAGCGGCAGCUUGCUGCAGCAAGGCUCUGGUCCUUAGGGUUCAGUGGCCAUGGCACAGGUCUGAGCAAGGUUCACACCCAUCUGAGGCUGCCUGCUCACGACUCAGGAGGUUGAGAGCGCACCGCUACAUGAUUCAGCUCUCUCUUCCUCUGAGUUUUUUUUUUAACAUGUACUUGUACAUUUUACAUUUUGGAAUGGUGUUGAGAAGGUAUUUUAAUGUUUAAGGUAUAAUUGUACACUGCAGGAGUAAGGAAAACUGAGAGACACCCUGCAGUGCUUCCUGUCCCCUCCACCUAGUGGCUGCAUGCAAGCCACAGUGGGUAGAAAGAGUGGACUAGCAGUCCCUGUGCUGGCAUGAGACACAGGACAGGACAGUGGAGACAUCUGCUUAAGUAACAGUCAUGCAGUCAUGUCAUACUCUGCUCUAAAUCGUUAAAAUGUAGAAAUUCACUGCGAUUUUGAAAGUUAAAAGAAAUGAUCAUACUCAUGGACACCAGGAAGAUUACAGGAAAUUAGGAAAAACUAGCAAUGAUCAGUCGAAACUUCAAAUCAAAAUAAUAUGAAAUACAUAAAAAUGAAAAGAUAAAAAGAUGGGAGAAGAGGAAGAAUGACGUAUACAUCAAGAAAAUCUAUAUACUUGUGUGUGGAGAAAAUGAUUGCAUGUUAUCUAAAGGAAUUCCAACUCAAAGUACAUAUGUGUUUUUUUUUCAAUGAGUGAAAGGCACAAAACUAUGAAGACAUCAGUUUUCCGGGCUGGACCAUUAUAUUCAAUACAAUCCCGUUAAAAUCUCAGCAAAGUAUGCGGCAUACACAUACUAGACUGGACCUGACUGCCAUAGAUUUGAACUGGCAUCUACUGAUUUCUCAGAUGCUUGUUCAGGAAACAGGAUCUGAGUUUGAGGAGUUAGCUCGCUGAGAGGCACUACACAUUGGAUGUGGACAUUUGAGUGCUAGUGUGACUGACCAGAUAAACAGAGAGGAAGAGAGACAGAGAGGAAGAACUGUCCAUUGAUACACUCUCUAAGUGUCUUCAACGGCCAGAGCUAAGCCAAUCUGAAGUCAGUAGCUUCUUCCAGGUCUCCCACAAG